AUAAGCAGUUGGCUAACCUGCUCUUUGCUUGCAAUUUUCUUGUGUUUUCAUUUUUUUUUACAUUCGAUUGUAAAUUUUACUUAGGAAAAAAAAUUCUAUCUCCUCUCAGCCGUAUGGCAGACUUAAUAAUUUAAAUUCAAUGAAUUCCUCGAAAACUAAAUAAAUAUGUAUUUUAUUUUAAAUUAAACCCAACUCUUCAAUGGAAAAUCGUAGCUAAUAAACAAUUUAUUAUUAAAAGUGCGUUCGCUGAGGAACAGCAGCCAGAGCCAUAAUAGAGAUUGUAUUUGUGUGUGCGUGUGUGUGUGUUGAUCAAUUGCAGUCUCCAAUCCAACAGCAGUUUUUCCCCCUCAACAAAAUCCCCCGCAAAAUACAACAACCAUCAGCGACAACACAAGUGUUGAAUUAUGCCCCCAAAAAGGUGCUCCUUUCAAUGAAAAAGAAAAAGACACCCCGCAGAGAAUAGUUCACUUGGAAACAUGGAAAAUAUUUUAAAAUAUUGAUUAUAACAAUGUUCAAUAGUUUCUUUGUGCAUCAUCGACAACAACACCAGUGCCAACUUUACAUCGUUACUUAAUUUUUAAACUCAAUUGCUCCACUCUGAUAAAAUAGAAUAAAGAUAUAAUUUUGGGCCAAUAAACCUGUUAACCUCAACACAUCCGUCUUUCACACAA